GGUCCGGUAGUUCAGUUGGUUAGAAUGCCUGCCUGUCACGCAGGAGGUCGCGGGUUCGAGUCCCGUCCGGAACG
rnacentral:tRNA from 1 species